UAGGGAAUUUUCGUCAAUGGGCGCUAGCCUGAACGAGCAAUGCCGCGUGAACGAGGAAGGUCUUCGGAUCGUAAAGUUCUGUUGAAGGGGAAAAAGAGCGGAGAGAGGAAAUGGUCUCCGAUUGAUAUUACCCUUCGAGGAAGUCACGGCUAACUACGUGCC
rnacentral:rRNA from 1 species